CUUGGAUGACUGAAGAAGGCAUCAUCCCAGCUCCCUCCCAGCAGGACAGGGUGACCAGAGCAAAGAGCCAAGACAGCCGCCACCACCAGCGUGAAGGAGGAAAGGCCCAGUUUUAAACCAGGCCAUGAGGUGGGACCUUCAAGAAUGAGAAAAGCCCUCUCCCAAUCAACAAGAUUGAAGGAGAGCGAGAUUUGGAGCAACUUUGGGGAGCAGCUUCUAGAAGCAAAAUCACCAACAACCAUGUGACUCGUAGGAAAGCCCCGAUACCUGCCAUGUAGUUGGACAUUUCACCUUCCUGGUAGCUGUGAAAUUAUACAGAACGCCAAGUCUCUGCUGCAAGAUGGUUCUGGUGGAAAAUGGACAGACUGCACUUGGCAGCAGAGGUGGUCACCAAGGUAGCACCUGGGCAAUGUGUCCUCAGGCACCAAAAAGCCAAGAGGAUGCUGAUGCUGGGACACUGCACUGCCAGACUUCCAUUGUGUCGCAUCACAAGUCUGUCCUCAAACCACUGCAGAA